rnacentral:rRNA from 1 species
GACAGAGGCCUCAAGCGUUAGGCGGAAUCACUGGGCUUAAAGCGUGUGUAGGCGGAUUCUUAAGUGCCUUGUGAACUCCCACGGCUCAACCGUGGAGCUGCUUGGCAUACUGGGAGUCUUGAGCCAUCUAGGGGCAACUGGAACAGACGGUGGAGCGGUGAAAUGCGUAGAUAUCGUCUGGAACGCCAACGGUGAAGACAGGUUGCUGGGGAUGUGCUGACACUGAGACACGAAAGCCAGGGGAGCAAACGGG